rnacentral:rRNA from 1 species
UCCUGACUGACCGAUAGUGAACCAGUACCGUGAGGGAAAGGCGAAAAGAACCCCGGCGAGGGGAGUGAAAAAGAACCUGAAACCGUGUACGUACAAGCAGUGGGAGCACGCUUAGGCGUGUGACUGCGUACCUUUUGUAUAAUGGGUCAGCGACUUAUAUUCUGUAGCAAGGUUAACCGAAUAGGGGAGCCGAAGGGAAACCGAGUCUUAACUGGGCGUUAAGUUGCAGGGUAUAGACCCGAAACCCGGUGAUCUAGCCAUGGGCAGGUUGAAGGUUGGGUAACACUAACUGGAGGACCGAACCGACUAAUGUUGAAAAAUUAGCGGAUGACUUGUGGCUGGGGGUGAAAGGCCAAUCAAACCGGGAGAUAGCUGGUUCUCCCCGAAAGCUAUUUAGGUAGCGCCUCGUGAAUUCAUCUCCGGGGGUAGAGCACUGUUUCGGCAAGGGGGUCAUCCCGACUUACCAACCCGAUGCAAACUGCGAAUACCGGAGAAUGUUAUCACGGGAGACACACGGCGGGUGCUAACGUCCGUCGUGAAGAGGGAAACAACCCAGACCGCCAGCUAAGGUCCCAAAGUCAUGGUUAAGUGGGAAACGAUGUGGGAAGGCCCAGACAGCCAGGAUGUUGGCUUAGAAGCAGCCAUCAUUUAAAGAAAGCGUAAUAGCUCACUGGUCGAGUCGGCCUGCGCGGAAGAUGUAACGGGGCUAAACCAUGCACCGAAGCUGCGGCAGCGACGCUUAUGCGUUGUUGGGUAGGGGAGCGUUCUGUAAGCCUGUGAAGGUGUGCUGUGAGGUAUGCUGGAGGUAUCAGAAGUGCGAAUGCUGACAUAAGUAACGAUAAAGCGGGUGAAAAGCCCGCUCGCCGGAAGACCAAGGGUUCCUGUCCAACGUUAAUCGGGGCAGGGUGAGUCGACCCCUAAGGCGAGGCCGAAAGGCGUAGUCGAUGGGAAACAGGUUAAUAUUCCUGUACUUGGUGUUACUGCGAAGGGGGGACGGAGAAGGCUAUGUUGGCCGGGCGACGGUUGUCCCGGUU